AACGAACGCUGGCGGCAUGCCUAACACAUGCAAGUCGAACGAGACCUUCGGGUCUAGUGGCGCACGGGUGCGUAACGCGUGGGAACCUGCCCUUAGGUUCGGAAUAACUCCCCGAAAGGGGUGCUAAUACCGGAUAAUGUCUUCGGACCAAAGAUUUAUCGCCUUUGGAUGGGCCCGCGUUGGAUUAGCUAGUUGGUAGGGUAAAAGCCUACCAAGGCGACGAUCCAUAGCUGGUCUGAGAGGAUGAUCAGCCACACUGGGACUGAGACACGGCCCAGACUCCUACGGGAAGCAGCAGUGGGGAAUAUUGGACAAUGGGCGAAAGCCUGAUCCAGCAAUGCCGCGUGAGUGAUGAAGGACUUAGGGUUGUAAAGCUCUUUUACCCGGGAUGAUAAUGACAGUACCGGGAGAAUAAGCUCCGGCUAACUCCGUG
rnacentral:rRNA from 1 species